GGCUCAGGACGAACGCUGGCGGCAUGCCUAAUACAUGCAAGUCGAACGAGUUCCCGUUGAUUGACGUGCUUGCACUGAUUUCAACAUUGGAACGAGUGGCGAACUGGUGAGUAACACGUGGAAAACCUGCCCAGAAGCAGGGGAUAACACUUGGAAACAGGUGCUAAUACCGUAUAACAACAAAAACCGCAUGGUUUUUGUUUGAAAGGUGGCUUCGGCUAUCACUUCUGGAUGGUUCCGCGGCGCAUUAGCUUGUUGGUGAGGUAACGGCUCACCAAGGCGAUGAUGCGUAGCCGACCUGAGAGGGUAAUCGGCCACAUUGGGACUGAGACACGGCCCAGACUCCUACGGGAGGCAGCAGUAGGGAAUCUUCCACAAUGGACGCAAGUCUGAUGGAGCAAUGCCGCGUGAGUGAAGAAGGGUUUCGGCUCGUAAAACUCUGUUGUUGAAGAAGAACGGGUGUCAGAGUAACUGUUGACAUCGUGACGGUAUUCAACCAGAAAGCCACGGCUAACUACGUGCCAGCAGCCGCGGUAAUACGUAGGUGGCAAGCGUUGUCCGGAUUUAUUGGGCGUAAAGCGAGCGCAGGCGGUUAUUUAAGUCUGAUGUGAAAGCCUUCGGCUUAACCGAAGAAGUGCAUCGGAAACUGGGUAACUUGAGUGCAGAAGAGGACAGUGGAACUCCAUGUGUAGCGGUGGAAUGCGUAGAUAUAUGGAAGAACACCAGUGGCGAAGGCGGCUGUCUAGUCUGUAACUGACGCUGAGGCUCGAAAGCAUGGGUAGCGAACAGGAUUAGAUAC
rnacentral:rRNA from 1 species